rnacentral:misc_RNA from 1 species
ACGAAGUUCUAUCUUCGAAUCAGCCUAUGUCCCAUGUUCCUAAGGAACAGAAAAUCGCUUAUAUCAGAGAUCUGCACCCAUUUGAGAAUAAGGAUAGGGAAUUCUUGGUGACAGUCACUGUAAAAAAGAUUGGUGAUAGGUGGUGGUACAAUGCAUGCAAAAAAUGCACCCGCACAGCUGUGGCUCAUGGGGAUUCCUACAAGUGCAGCGAUCAAGUUUGCGCUAACAUUGGCACGCCUAGCCAGAGGUACAAACUGCUUCUCGCUGCAGGGGAUGAGACGGGUGACAUAGACUUCAUCCUCUUUGGUCGGAUGGCGCAACGCAUCAUCAAGAAGCCGUGCGAUAUGCUCAUUGUCAACAAUCCGAUCGACUUUAUUCCUGAUCCAAUCACAGAUCUGCUCGAGAAGACGUAUAUAUGGAAUGUGAGUUUCUCUGACCACACAAUCAAUACUGGAAAUAUUUGUUUCCAGGUCAACGCAGUCGUGGCAGAGAUAGGUACUGCAAAGGACUUCAUCCAAGCAUCUUCAUCAAGGCCAAAACAGUCACAACCUGUGUUGUUGCAAGACGCACCCAGUGGCGUUGAAGACACUCCUAACAAAGCCUCUAACUUGGUCAUGCCUUCGACCCCGCUCACACCACAAAGUUCCGCAACCAGUGUGCAAGAUAAGACUUUUUGUGUUGGCAGCAGCACUAUGGUUCCAGGUGCUAUUCCCGCUAUAACAAAGGAACUGACAUCCACGCCUAGGAAGAGGACAAGGUCUUCGCCAUCAAAGACAGUUACAAAGAGGUUGUUCACCGACAUAGAUGGAGGAAUCACUGGCUCUAAGGAUGUCGCGGAUAGCGCUGCUGCCCCUAGCCCUACCAAAGAUGCUUAGUCACAGAGGGGCACAGGUCUUUUGGGCUCACAGUUGCAGCUGUUCGCUCUUUUGGAUGAUCGUUGUCUACUGCUUUUGUAUCCAAG